rfam:Camelus ferus unplaced genomic scaffold scaffold1301, whole genome shotgun sequence.
GGAGGUAUAGCUCAGUGGUAGAGUGUGUGCUUGGUAUGCGUGAAGUCCUGGGUUCAAUUCCCAGUUCCUCCA